CCUACGGGAGGCAGCAGUGAGGAAUAUUGGUCAAUGGACGAGAGUCUGAACCAGCCAAGUAGCGUGAAGGAUGACUGCCCUAUGGGUUGUAAACUUCUUUUAUAUGGGAAUAAAAUGUUCCACGUGUGGGAUUUUGUAUGUACCAUAUGAAUAAGGAUCGGCUAACUCCGUGCCAGCAGCCGCGGUAAUACGGAGGAUCCGAGCGUUAUCCGGAUUUAUUGGGUUUAAAGGGGGCGUAGGUGGACUGUUAAGUCAGAUGUGAAAGUUUGGGGCUCAACCGUAAAAGUGCAGUUGAAACUGGCAAUCUUGAGUACAGUAGAGGUGAGCGGAAUUCGUGGUGUAGCGGUGAAAUGCUUAGAUAUCACGAAGAACUCCGAUUGCGAAGGCAGCUCACUGGACUGCAACUGACACUGAGGCUCGAAAGUGUGGGGAUCAAACAGGAUUAGAUACCCGAGUAGUC
rnacentral:rRNA from 1 species